UACGGAGGAUGCAAGCGUUAUCCGGAUUUAUUGGGUUUAAAGGGUGCGUAGGCGGGUCCUUAAGUCAGCGGUGAAAUAAGCCGGCUCAACCGGUUGGCUGCCGUUGAUACUGGAGGUCUUGAGUGCGAGCGGCGCCGGCGGAAUGUGUGGUGUAGCGGUGAAAUGCAUAGAUACCACACAGAACACCGAUCGCGAAGGCAGCUGGCGAGGACGCUACUGACGCUGAGGUACGAAAGCGUGGGGAUCGAAC
rnacentral:rRNA from 1 species